rnacentral:rRNA from 1 species
GACGAACGCUGGCGGCGUGCUUAACACAUGCAAGUCGAACGGUGAAGCGCCUUCCUUUUUGGUGGGUGUGGAUGAGUGGCGAACGGGCGAGUAACACGUGAGUAACCUGCCCCCUUCUUCUGGAUAACCGCAUGAAAGUGUGGCUAAUACGGGAUAUUCUGGGUCUGUCGCAUGAUGGGUCUGGGAAAGAUAUUGUUUCGGUGGGGGAUGGGCUCGCGGCCUAUCAGCUUGUUGGUGGGGUGAUGGCCUACCAAGGCGGUGACGGGUAGCCGGCCUGAGAGGGUGGACGGUCACACUGGGACUGAGACACGGCCCAGACUCCUACGGGAGGCAGCAGUGGGGAAUAUUGCACAAUGGGCGCAAGCCUGAUGCAGCGACGCCGCGUGAGGGAUGGAGGCCUUCGGGUUGUGAACCUCUUUCGCCAGUGAAGCAGGCCUGCCUCGUUUGUGGGUGGGUUGACGGUAGCUGGAUAAGAAGCGCCGGCUAACUACGUG